ACUCCUACGGGAGGCAGCAGUGGGGAAUAUUGCACAAUGGGCGCAAGCCUGAUGCAGCCAUGCCGCGUGUAUGAAGAAGGCCUUCGGGUUGUAAAGUACUUUCAGCAGUGAGGAAGGUGGGUAUGUUAAUAGCAUACUCAUUUGACGUUAGCUGCAGAAGAAGCACCGGCUAACUCCGUGCCAGCAGCCGCGGUAAUACGGAGGGUGCGAGCGUUAAUCGGAAUUACUGGGCGUAAAGCGCAUGCAGGUGGUUGUUAAGUCAGAUGUGAAAGCCCGGGGCUCAACCUCGGAAUUGCAUUUGAAACUGGCAAACUAGAGUACUGUAGAGGGGGUUAGAAUUUCAGGUGUAGCGGUGAAAUGCGUAGAGAUCGUGAAGGAAUACCGGUGGCGAAGGCGGCCCCUGGACAGAUACUGACACUCAGAUGCGAAAGCGUGGGAGCAAACAGGAUUAGAUA
rnacentral:rRNA from 1 species